AUGAAACAUUUAGGUUUCUCCUGACUCUUCUGUAGUGAAAUCUCUGCCUAUUGACUGUCUGUUGUGUAGAGCUCAUGCCUUUCGCUGCACGCCCAACUUUCCGUUUUUUCGUUUUAGUUUUUACCUAGACGGUUGGGUUCUUUUGUUUACAACAUUGCCUGACUGAAGUCGGUAAGUGGCUCGUUUCCUGUACUUCCUGGUUGUACUGGGAUGGCUAGGGGUUGGUCAUUCAGCAUCCGGGAACAGAGUUGUGAGUUGAAGGUGGUGGCAGUGUGACGCGUUGGGGUUUGUUUCCCCUCUUCGUGUGCGUGUUGGUCACUCCUCUGUGUCGAUUGUCACAGUGAAUUGUGUGUGGGUGUGAUUCACGUGUGUUUGGGGUGAUUCUGGCCUGGACUUUCAUCCCUUCUUUGUCGUUUAUAGUCUGCCAUCCACUGGUAAGCUCCAGCUCUAGCUUGAUAGUACAUUUUAACUCUUACCUUUCUUAGCUUUGCAUAUCCCUGAUGUUGCUAAAUUAAAACUAGUUUUAUUAUUGUUGUACCUAACUGUUGAACUGUGGAAUUGUAUAUGAUUGUGAGAGAAUAAACAUUUAUGUACGAAAA